rnacentral:pre_miRNA from 1 species
GGCUGAUUUGUGGGGCUCAGAAAAGCUGUAAAUGAAAACUUUUGGUCCCCAUUAACCAGCCGCC